rnacentral:rRNA from 1 species
AUGGCGAGCGCCGGCGCGGCGAUCGGUGCGCGCGCGGCCCGCGCCUGCGACGGCUGCAUGCGGCGGCGGGCGCGGUGGCACUGCGCCGCGGACGACGCGUACCUGUGCCAGGCGUGCGACGCCUCCGUCCACUCGGCCAACCCGCUCGCGCGGCGCCACCACCGGGUGCGCCUCCCCUCCUCGUCCUCGCCGGCCGCCACCUCCUCCCUUCAGCACGCCGACCCCGACGAGCCCGCGUGGCUGCACGGGCUCAAGCGCCGGCCGCGCACGCCGCGGUCGAAGCCCGGGAUGGUGGGCAAGCACGGCGCGCCCGCCACCGCGAAGGCCGCGGCUGCCUCGGCGGUCCCCGAUCUCGAGGCGGAGGACUCCGGCUCCGGCAUCGUGGGUGACAACGACGAAGGCCACGGCGUGGAGGUCGACGACGAGGAUCUCCUGUACCGCGUCCCGGUGUUCGACCCCAUGCUCGCCGAGCUCUACAACCCCGUGCCGGUCGACGAGUUCCGGGAGCCCCUCGAGCAGAAGCCUUCCGUCUGCUGCUUCUCGUCGCUUGCCAAUCAGCCGUCGUCGGAGUACGCCUCGGGCGUGGCGGAGGCGGCCGACGGGUUCUCCGGGUUCGACGUCGUCCCGGACAUGGAGCUCGCCAGCUUCGCCGCGGACAUGGAGAGCCUGCUCAUGGGAGGAGUAGAAGAGGGGUUCGACGACCUGCGGUUCUUGGACGAAGAGAAGCCCCAGCUGAACCUUGACUUCGACAUGGCGGACUUCGAUGAUCAGAGCACCGCGGCGCCUGCGCCGGAGCAAGAGUUAGAGGACAGGAAAAGGAAGCGGUCGGACUCGGGGAUGAUACUUAAGCUCGACUACGAGAGGGUUAUCGACUCCUGGGCCCAUGACGGCGGCUCGCCGUGGUUCUACGGCGAGCGCCCCCACAUCGACCCCAGUGAUGAUUCCUGGCUGGACUUGCCGGCGGGGAGCCGUGGAUUCGGGCUCGGCGCAGCGGUGACGGCGGUGACCGGCGGCGAGCGGGAGGCGCGGGUGUCGCGGUACCGGGAGAAGCGGCGGACGCGGCUGUUCGCCAAGAAGAUCCGGUACGAGGUGCGCAAGCUCAACGCCGAGAAGCGGCCGCGGAUGAAGGGCCGGUUCGUCAAGCGCACCGCGCUGCCACCGCUGCCGCCGCGGCCGCCGAUGGUGCUCGCGGGCCACGGCCACGGCGGCGCGCACGGGCGCUUCCGUUUUUGA